rnacentral:lncRNA from 1 species
AAUUUUCUUUCCAAAUCAUUGACCAAAAAUCUUCCGUCAUUCUCUCCAUGGGACCUUGACAAACAAUCCAUCUAUUUUGUAAGUCUCCAACGUCUCCAAUAUAACUAGCGUUAAUAUAAUCGGUGUCCCUGAAAUUCUUCAAAACAGUUUUACACGGUUAAAGUCAUAUGGAACAGAGAAAUUAUGCAGAUUUUUCCGAAUGUUUUCGGGUGCAAGAGCUAUUGUAAAUGUAUGUUUUGUGGCAGUGGAUCGAGCUUUAGAAUAUUCUAUUCUAUCAAUUAUGGAGUGUUUACUUCUUUUAGCAUAGUAUUUUGAAAAUUCGGAUAUGUCAACGGGAACACGACGAAUUUGAGACAUGGCUCCAUUGUCAUCUGCAAGAGCUGUUCUGAACAGGAUUGUCUCAUUUUUUUCUAUAUUUUUGGGCUUCCGAAUAGCCUUGCUCCGAUAUUUGAGGGUUGCAAUCCCCAGGAGCAAGAUGGAUAUGAGAAUGCAGCCAAACCACGUCCAUGUUCCUUCAGUUAAAACACAACACACAUAUGUAGGUAUCACGAAUUCUUCUCUAAUUAGAAGUAUUUCCGUUACAGAAUCGUUCAUUUUAGAAUCUGCAUAUUAUCCCAUUCCACCAACGCACGCUUCGUCCUCAUAGGCAGACAGACGCAUUAGUAGUAAAUAAAGAAUAACUCUCUCCCUCUCUCUUACUUGUUUGACCUUAAUGCUUAGAUUCAAUACCAAAGGGCCCACCAAAAAAAAAAAAAAAAAAAAGAUUCCGGCCAGCUCACCACAUGUGCUUCAUAAAAAUACCUUUGUCAGAUAUAUUAUAUACUGACAUAUAUGUAUUAAAAUUGUAUAUAAUAUUAAUCUUCAUGGUUUAAAUAUAAAAA